GAGCAGUCGGCUGUGGCGAGGUCCAGUUGGGCCAAGUGGGAAACACUGUCGCUGUGAACUGAAACAGACACCAACAAUGUCUUACCAGGAACUAUUCAGUACCAACUAUCUGUUAACCUACAGAUCUUUUCUUCACUAAAAGGUGGAGUUCUCCAGCGCCUCCUGAAUCUUCUCCUCUCGCUCCUUGUUGGUCCAGUUGGCUGGGGCUGUUGGCCAAUCAAUUCCCAGAGAUCGGAGAAAGGUGAUGAUGUCGCUGUCUUCAGGAAGCGUGGGGCAAUAGGACACUGCGAACCUGAGAAAGAUGACAAGAUAUGUACCAUUCACAACAGCAUUAUCAGUCUCUGGCUGCAACAAACAACUCCCCCAUGUGGUCAGCCAACAGAACCGUCCUCAGCUGGCCCAAAGUCAGUGUAUCAGGGGUGGGUGUGCUGGGUUUAGGAUGCAACGCAGGGCAGUUCAGCACCACACAGCCUUGCCUCUGACUGGAGGGCUUCAGG